AUGAAACCAGCUACAGCUAGGCACUGUGCAAGCAAGUGUUCUGUUUCUUCGGCAGCUCUGUCAAAUGUUGGUGUGCUUCCUCCCUCCCCUGGAGGACCUGGCUUCAGUCUCUCACAAGCAGCAGUUGCCAGCUUCUUCAGCUGGUUUCAAGGCCUGAUGACAUUGACUAAUGGAGAACAGGGAAGCAAUGUCCAAACAGGCUGUACCACCCAGACCACGCUGAUCAAGGAAAAAAAAAUGUGUGAGAAACAGCCCUACAGAUACCAAGGAAGUGACUCAAUGAGAAGUGAACAUCUGCUGGAUAACUUUGCGCUACAUUAUGUAGCUUUACAAGAAGAGAAGAUGUACUGCAGAAAGACUGAUUGGAUCGGGAUUUUAGAGGGAACCAAUCUAUGGAGGGGUCAGGGGAAGAUGUUUUUUCCUAUUUGUUCACUAUCCCUUUCUUCUCUACAGAUCCUCUGACUUGAAUGGUAUUAGUACACUGGGAAAGUGUACACAGUUUAUAUCUGAAUAACCCAUAUGGUCCUCUGACUUUCAUUUUGAUGCAGAUGAAGGAGAGCUCUGCCUGUUGACAACCUCCAGUCUUGUAUGCAUGUACAGUCUUUUCCAUAGAUUAAUGAGAAUAAUAUGCAUAAAGUCUUCAUAUUUAUGUAUUUCUUUGUCAUCAUAACCAUUUCCCCACAGCAUAAAAAUAAGGAAGUUUAUUUGCAAAGGUAAAACCUCUAUGUUC
rnacentral:lncRNA from 1 species